rnacentral:rRNA from 1 species
UCUUGGUCAUUUAGAGGAAGUAAAAGUCGUAACAAGGUUUCCGUAGGUGAACCUGCGGAAGGAUCAUUACAGAGAACCUGCCCUUCGGGGUAGAUCUCCCACCCUUUGUUUACCUUACCUUUGUUGCUUUGGCAGGCCCGUUCUUCGGGACCGCCGGCUUCGGCUGGCCUGUGCCUGCCAGAGGACCCCAAACUCUUGUUUAAUUGUCGUCUGAGUACCAAAAUAAUAAGUUAAAACUUUCAACAACGGAUCUCUUGGUUCUGGCAUCGAUGAAGAACGCAGCGAAAUGCGAUAAGUAAUGUGAAUUGCAGAUUUCAGUGAAUCAUCGAAUUUUUGAACGCACAUUGCGCCCUCUGGUAUUCCGGGGGGCAUGCCUGUUCGAGCGUCAUUACAACCCUCAAGCUCUGCUUGGUAUUGGGCGUCCGCCGGCCUGCCGGCGCGCCUCAAAGUCAGUGGCGGUGCCGUCCGGCUUCAAGCGUAGUAAUCUACUCUCGCUCUGGGGCUCCGGGCGGUUGCCUGCCAGCAACCCCAAUUUUACCACAGGUUGACCUCGGAUCAGGUAGGGAUACC